UCGGGAAUAUUGCGCAAUGGAGGAAACUCUGACGCAGUGACGCCGCGUAUAGGAAGAAGGUUUUCGGAUUGUAAACUAUUGUCGUUAGGGAAGAUACAAGACAGUACCUAAGGAGGAAGCUCCGGCUAACUACGUGCCAGCAGCCGCGGUAAUACGUAGGGAGCAAGCGUUAUCCGGAUUUAUUGGGUGUAAAGGGUGCGUAGACGGGACAACAAGUUAGUUGUGAAAUCCCUCGGCUCAACUGAGGAACUGCAACUAAAACUAUUGUUCUUGAGUGUUGGAGAGGAAAGUGGAAUUCCUAGUGUAGCGGUGAAAUGCGUAGAUAUUAGGAGGAACACCGGUGGCGAAGGCGACUUUCUGGACAAUAACUGACGUUGAGGCACGAAAGUGUGGGGAGCAAACAGGA
rnacentral:rRNA from 1 species